UACGGGGGGAGCAAGCGUUGUUCGGAUUACUGGGCGUAAAGGGCGCGUAGGCGGUCAGCACAAGUCAGUUGUGAAAUCUCCGGGCUUAACUCGGAAAGGUCAACUGAUACUGUGCGACUAGAGUGCAGAAGGGCAACUGGAAUUCUCGGUGUAGCGGUGAAAUGCGUAGAUAUCGAGAGGAACACCUGCGGCGAAGGCGGGUUGCUGGGCUGACACUGACGCUGAUGCGCGAAAGCCAGGGGAGCGAACGGG
rnacentral:rRNA from 1 species